AGCCUACAGAGGCAGGCAGGCCUCCUUGAGCUGUGGUGGGCUCCACCCAGUUCGAGCUUCCGGGCUGCUUUGUUUACCUAAGCAAGCCUGGGCAAUGGCGGGCGCCCCUCCCCCAGCCUCGCUGCCGCCUUGCAGUUUGAUCUCAGACUGCUGUGCUAGCAAUCAGCGAGACUCCGUGGGCGUAGGACCCUCCGAGCCAGAUGUUUCCACUCACAAUAUUGGUAAAUGUAGAGUUUGCCUCUACUGACUGUCAGCUGAACAUCUUGGUUAAGACUCAGACUGCCUGAUUCUUCUCUUCCACUUACAAGCCUUGGGAAAGUCACAUAUAACCAUGUGGAACCUCCACUUCCUCACAUGGAAGGAGAACCAAAUGACAACUCGGAGGAAAUGAUCAGGACUGAGAAGGAGAGGAGAAAAUCCAAGAGGCCAGACCCUCACGUGGACCCUAUUGUCUCUUCCUUCCAACCUCCCAGCCUAUAAACACCUGUGCUAAGCCCAGCUGCCCAGCCCAGGCCCCAUCUGUGGGUGAGGCCUGAGACUUUUCGACCUUGCCUUGGCUGAGCACCGUUAUUACCACAUGCCUAAGACCCGUGCUCCAAUGCAUCUAUCAGGAAUAAAGCUGAUGUCUUA
rnacentral:lncRNA from 1 species